AUUGAACGCUGGCGGCAGGCCUAACACAUGCAAGUCGAACGAGUGGCGGACGGGUGAGUAAUGUCUGGGAAACUGCCCGAUGGAGGGGGAUAAAUAAUGGAAACGGUAGCUAAUACCGCAUACCAUCGGAUGAGCCCAGAUGGGAUUAGCUAGUAGGUGGGGUAAAGGCUCACCUAGGCGACGAUCCCUAGCUGGUCUGAGAGGAUGACCAGCCACACUGGAACGUAUACACGGUCCAGACUCCUACGUGAGGCAGCAGUGGGGAAUAUUGCACAAUGGGCGCAAGCCUGAUGCAGCCAUGCCGCGUGUAUGAAGAAGGCCUUCGGGUUGUAAAGUACUUUCAGCGAGGAGGCGUUACUCGCAGAAGAAGCACCGGCUAACUCCGUGCCAGCAGCCGCGGUAAUUC
rnacentral:rRNA from 1 species